rnacentral:misc_RNA from 1 species
GGAAGGAUCAUUACACUAAUUUUAAAACUUUUAACACUUGUCGAUGAGUUCCUUUGUUCUCAUUAUAUACCCCAUUUUCUUAUUAUAAAACUGUUACUUUGAAAACUAUUACAAACUGAAAUUAAAAAUAAACCUCCAGGCGGUGGAUACCUUGGUUACCAUAACGAUGAAGAACGCAGCAAAAUGCGAUAGUAAUUGCGAUUUGCAGAAUUCAGUGAAUCAUCAUAACUUUGAAUGCUACCUGCGGUAUUGGGUGUUCCCUAAUGCCGUACCUCUUUGAGAAUCGUUUACAAAACUUCUGAAAGUCAAUGGUUGUCUUUCUAAAUGAAUUGCUUUUUGUCAUAGAGCCAAGUUUUGAUAGUUCAUUUUGUGAAUUAUGAAUGUUGAAGAAACAACCGCUUUUGAUCAGAAAGGUACCCCAAUCUUUUUAUAAGAUCUCAAAUGAGGUAAGACUACCCUCUGAGUUUAAGCAUAUACGUAAGAGGAGGAAAGAAACUAAAAAGGAUUCUCUUAGUAACGGCGAGUGAAGAGAGAAGUGCUCAACCCGAAAAUCGAAAUAAGAUUAUUAUUUUGAAUUGUGGGUAUGCAAGGUAAAUUUCGGCGUGUGGCCCGUGCUAAAGUCUGUUGGAAAGCAGCUGACAAAGAGGGUGACAACCCCGUACAUAGCAUGGAGUCCGCCGUUUAACGAAAUACCUUUGUCGAGUCGGGCUGCUUGGGAAUGCAGUCUUAAAGGGUGGUAAAUUCCAUCCAAGGCUAAAUAUAUAUGGUAAACCGAUAGCAUACAAGUACCGUAAGGGAAAGGUGAAAAGAACUUUGAAGAGAGAGUUAAAAGUACUUGAAACCGCUUGGAGUAACGGGAUAAAAACUGUUGGAUCGGGUUGCUACUGUUCUAAUGAGUGGUUGUUGUUUGCUGGAUUUCCUUCGUGCCCGUUUGGGUUGAGGUUUUCCUUUAGAUAAAGACUGUUUGUUAGUGAAUGUAAGCGUGAGUGUGUGUCACUUGAUGUUUUGAUUAAGAGAAAUAUGGUAGUUGAAAGGUAGAGUGGUUUCCGUACCUUGGUGCGUGAAAACUUGAUAGUCACUACUGUUUUGGAAAUCUUGAAUGAGACAUGAUUGUGACCAUAGAUGGUUUUUAUUCACCCGUCUUGAAACACGGACCAAGGAGUCUACCUAACACGCGAGUCGUAGAGUGUUUAAAACUUGAAGGCGAAAUGAAAGUGUAGGGCUAAUCUUCGGAUUGGCUUUAGAUAUUCAAUGGCUUUUUGUCAUUUCCAUAUCUUCCCGGCUGCGUCUUUGUAUGCAGUUCGAGGCCGAGCGCGUUGGGUAGGACCCGAAAGAUGGUGAACUAUGCCUGGGCAGGGUGAAGCCAGGGGAAACUCUGGUGGAAGCUCGCAGCGAUACUGACGUGCAAAUCGUUCGUCAGACCUGGGUAUAGGGGCGAAAGACUAAUCGAACCGUCUAGUAGCUGGUUCCCUC